CCCUUAGAUGUUCUGGGCCGCACACGCGCUACACUGAAGGAGGCAGCGUGUACUCCUGGAUCGAAAGAUUUGGGUAACCCGCGAAUCUCCUUCGUGCUAGGGAUUGAGGUUUGCAAUUAUCCUUCAUGAACGAGGAAUUCCCAGUAAGUGCAAGUCAUAAGCUUGCGCUUACUACGUCCCUGCCCUUUGUACACACCGCCCGUCGCUACUACCGAUUGAAUGAUUUAGUGAGGACUUCGGACUGGGACCGAUGCGGCUUUCGGGCUGCGUCGGUAUUCUGGAAAGAUGUCCAAACUGUAUCAUUUAGAGGAAGUAAAAGUCGUAACA
rnacentral:rRNA from 1 species